rnacentral:rRNA from 1 species
GACAGAGGAUGCAAACGUUGCUCGGAAUUACUGGGCGUAAAGCGCGCGCAGGUGGUCUGGUAAGUCGGGUGUGAAAUCCCGGGGCUCAACCUCGGAAGUGCACACGAUACUGCCGGACUCGAGUACUGGAGAGGAGAGCGGAAUUCCCGGUGUAGAGGUGAAAUUCGUAGAUAUCGGGAGGAACACCGGUGGCGAAGGCGGCGAUCUGGGUCGAUACUGACGCUGAGGUGCGAAAGCGUGGGGAGCAAACAGG